UUUUGCACUAUUAAUUAAGGUGUUCCGAUGGAAUUUUUCCGGAGGAAUGAAAAUGGGAAUCAGGUGAAAUACCUGAGCUGUACCCGCAACUGUAAGCUGAGAAAGAGGUAUCUAUCUUUUGCCACUGAGUAAUAGUACUUGGGAAGGCGAUACCGAAAAGCGAGCCAGGAGACCUGCCUUAUGUGUACUGCAAUC
rnacentral:ncRNA from 2 species